rnacentral:rRNA from 1 species
GUGGAUUAGAUACCCUGGUAGUCCUAGCUGUAAACGAUGGAUGCUAGGUGUGAGCAGAACUAACCCUGCGCGUGCCGAAGCUAACGCGUUAAGCAUCCCGCCUGGGAACUACGAGCGCAAGCUUAAAACUCAAAGGAAUUGACGGGGACCCGCACAAGCAGCGGAGCGUGUGGUUUAAUUCGAUGCUACACGAAGAACCUUACCCAGGUUUGACAUACAGGUAGUAGUGAAGCGAAAGCGGAACGACCCGCAAGGGAGCCUGAACAGGUGUUGCACGGCCGUCGUCAACU